UACGGAGGGGCGAGCGUUAUUCGGAAUUAUUGGGCGUAAAGGGCGCGUAGGCGGCUUGACAAGUCAAAGGUGAAAUCCCUCGGCCCAACUGAGGAACUGCCUUUGAAACUGUCAGGCUUGAGGCCGGGAGGGGUAGCGGAAUUCCCAGUGUAGCGGUGAAAUGCGUAGAUAUUGGGAGGAACACCAGUGGCGAAGGCGGCUACCUGGACCGGUACUGACGCUGAUGCGCGAAAGCGUGGGUAGCAAACGAGGA
rnacentral:rRNA from 1 species